UACGAAGGGGGCUAGCGUUGUUCGGAAUUACUGGGCGUAAAGGGCGCGUAGGCGGUGUGUCAAGUCAGGCGUGAAAGCCCCGGGCUCAACCUGGGAACCGCGCUUGAGACUGGCACGCUCGAGUUCGGGAGAGGAUGGUGGAAUUCCCAGUGCAGAGGUGAAAUUCGUAGAUAUUGGGAAGAACACCGAUGGCGAAGGCAGCCAUCUGGACCGACACUGACGCUGAGGUGCGAAAGCAUGGGGAGCGAACAGG
rnacentral:rRNA from 1 species